UACAGAGGGUGCAAGCGUUGUUCGGAAUUAUUGGGCGUAAAGAGCGUGUAGGCGGCCAUGUAGGUCCGUUGUGAAAACUCGAGGCUCAACCUCGAGACGCCGAUGGAAACCAUGUGGCUAGAGUCCGGAAGAGGAGAGUGGAAUUCCUGGUGUAGCGGUGAAAUGCGCAGAUAUCAGGAAGAACACCCGUGGCUAAGGCGGCUCUCUAGUACGGUACUGACGCUGAGGCACGAAAGCGUGGGGAUCAAACAGG
rnacentral:rRNA from 1 species